rnacentral:rRNA from 1 species
UUGUGUCAGCCGCCGCGGUAAUACCGGCGGCCCAAGUGGUGGCCACUAUUAUUGGGCCUAAAGCGUCCGUAGCCGGCCCAGUAAGUCUCUGCUUAAAUCCUGCGGCUCAACCGCAGGGCUGGCAGAGAUACUGCUGGGCUUGGGACCGGGAGAGGCCGGGGGUACCCCAGGGGUAGCGGUGAAAUGCGUUGAUCCCUGGGGGACCACCUGUGGCGAAGGCGCCCGGCUGGAACGGGUCCGACGGUGAGGGACGAAGGCCAGGGGAGCAAACCGGAUUAGAUACCCGGGUAGUCCUGGCUGUAAACUAUGCGGACUAGGUGUCGCGUCGGCUUCGGGCCGACGCGGUGCCGAAGGGAAGCCGUUAAGUCCGCCGCCUGNGGAGUACGUCGCA